ACUGCAGGCCGCGCUAUCGAUUCCCGCUUCGGUGGGGGUAGGAAAGUCCGGACAGCACAGAGCAGCGCAUCCCGCUAACGGCGGGACAUCCUUCGCCACAGGGCGGAGGGUCGAGCCAGUGCCACAGAAAAUUACGGCCACCGCCCGCCGCAGCCUUGGCGCAGGCGGGCUAGUUAAGGGAAACCUUAGUGGUUACGGUGAAAACGUGGGGUAAGAGCCCACGGUCGGGCAUCGGAAGGUGUUCUUCGGGUAAACCUUGCGCGCUGAAAUGCCAUGUAUAGGAAUCUCCAACGGCUGCUCGCUGUUGUUCCGCAAGGAACGGGUUCCAGGGUAGGCAGCUAGAGGCGUUCAGCAAUGGACGUCCCAGAUAAAUGAUAGCGGCUGACCGCCUUCGCGAAAGCUAAGGCGGUGAGACACAGAAUCCGGCUUACAGGCCUGCAGUAUUU
rnacentral:RNase_P_RNA from 1 species